AUUGAACGCUGGCGGCAGGCUUAACACAUGCAAGUCGAGCGGGGGAAGGUAGCUUGCUACCGGACCUAGCGGCGGACGGGUGAGUAAUGCUUAGGAAUCUGCCUAUUAGUGGGGGACAACAUCUCGAAAGGGAUGCUAAUACCGCAUACGUCCUACGGGAGAAAGCAGGGGAUCUUCGGACCUUGCGCUAAUAGAUGAGCCUAAGUCGGAUUAGCUAGUUGGGGGGGUAAAGGCCUACCAAGGCGACGAUCUGUAGCGGGUCUGAGAGGAUGAUCGGCCACACGGGGACUGAGACACGGCCCAGACUCCUACGGGAGGCAGCAGUGGGGAAUAUUGGACAAUGGGGGGAACCCUGAUCCAGCCAUGCCGCGUGUGUGAAGAAGGCCUUAUGGUUGUAAAGCACUUUUAGCGAGGAGGAGGCUACUUUAGUUAAUACCUAGAGAUAGUGGACGUUACUCGCAGAAUAAGCACCGGCUAACUCUGUGCCAGCAGCCGCGGUAA
rnacentral:rRNA from 1 species